UACGUAGGGGGCAAGCGUUGUCCGGAUUUACUGGGCGUAAAGGGCGUGCAGGCGGUUUGUUAAGUGCAGGGUGAAAGCUCCCGGCUCAACUGGGAGAGGUCCUUGCAUACUGGCAGACUUGAGGGAGGCAGAGGAAAGUGGAAUUCCCGGUGUAGUGGUGAUAUGCGUAGAUAUCGGGAGGAACACCUGUGGCGAAGGCGGCUUUCUGGGCCUUACCUGACGCUGAGACGCGAAAGCGUGGGGAGCGAACCGG
rnacentral:rRNA from 1 species